UGUUGUUCAGUGCCAGAAUGAGUGACCGCUAUUUAGAACAAAGGAUUAGUAUCAAAUUUUGCGUGAAAUUGAACAAGUCUGCAAGUGAGACCCACCAUCUUUUAAAAGAAGCUUAUGGGGAUGAAGUCAUGUCAAGGGCCAGAGUUUUUGACUGGCACAAAAGGUUUAAAGAAGGACGGGAAGAUGUUCGAGAUGAUGCCCGAAGUGGGCGUCCAGUCACCCACCGAACAGAUGACAAUAUCCAGAAGGUCAAGGACUUGGUUUGUUCAAACAGGCAGUUAACCGUGAGGAUGAUGGCUGAAGAGUUAAAUUUAGACAAAGAAACUGUUAGGCUCAUUUUGAAAGAAAACUUGAACAUGAGGAAGAUUUCUGCAAAAGUUAUUUCGGGUGUUUUGAAGGGUGAGCCUAAACCACGAAAACUUGACUUUCGGUCCGAUCUUUCAAAGGAAACUAGGAAAAAUAGCUCAUGUUUGAGGAAAAAGGAUGUUUUUCUUCUCUACUAGCCCAGGACCUCCUAAAAGCCAAACCCACAUCUGAUUGUUCCAUGUUCCCUGCAUCCAGAAUAAACCUUGCCUGGAACUGCUCAAUAAAUGUUUGAUAGACGAAUG
rnacentral:sRNA from 1 species